UUUCGAAUGUAGUGGAAGUGUACAUGUGCCACAGGCUGCGAGGCAACCAGGCAUGGAAUUUCUUGGUGGAAAGCCGUCAGAUAGAGAGUGCAGAGCACAAGCUCUGUCUAGCAUUGAAUUUGAAGACAAACACGACCCUUGUUCUGGAGAAAUGUGAUACAACGAAGCUGAACCAACAGUGGGACGUUUCAUUCAUCGACUUGGACGUUUCAAUGCUGGAGGAACAUUAAUCAAGAAAAAAAAACUCAAGUUUACAGUAGCCGUGAGAUUAAUGUAUCGAACACAAUCGUGUUAAUAUACUUGGCGCUAAAAGGUCCCGACCUAAAUCAUUCCUUUUCAUCUCACAAAGACGUCAUUAUUUUACUCGAAAUACAUCUGACCUCAUAAUAAACGCGUUCAACGCAUGCGGACAGCGCAUGAUGCUGCAUUUAGACGCGGGAACGUUCUGCUAACAUCAACUUCGACUAUGACUUUCCUAGCCUGCGCAAGAUGGCACCUUAUAACAGUGAUCGUGCUAGUGGUAAUGUUGGGAGUUAAUUUGAUAUACUACCGAAGCAACGAUGAAUUAAAAAAGCACAUCAGUGUCUGGAAGUUUAAUAAAACCGGCAAUACUCAAGAGCCGCAAAGGACACCAUCUCAUCUGCCAGGACAUCAAGGAAUCGCAGUGCAAUGGGAUUCUUCAGACAAAGAAAUUGUCACCUUUGUGCAAGAAAGCAUAAAACAGUAUGGCUUCAAUGAGUAUGCAUCGACCCUCGUAUCAAGCAGGCGAUCCUUACCAGACCUAAGACAUCCUGACUGUAUCACCAGCCAGCGAAAGAACCUAACGCUACCGAGGACAUCGAUCGUAAUCGUGUUCUACAACGAACCGUGGAGUGUUCUUUUGAGAACAGUUCAUUCUGUGCUCGACAACUCUCCGACGAAUCUCAUCGAUGAGGUGCUACUGGUUGACGAUUAUUCCUAUCUGCCAUUCUUGAAGACUCAACUGGAAGAAUAUUUUAGGAGCUACGACAAGGUCCGUAUACUACGUGCGCCUGAACGGCUGGGACUGAUACGGGCAAGAAUAUUUGGUAGCAAGAACACAACCUCACCGGUACUCACCUUUCUGGAUGCACACGUUGAAUGUACGAAGGGAUGGUUGGAACCUUUGCUAGAGCAAAUUUCGGAGAACGAUCAGACAAUCCCUGUCCCACUGAUAGACCGUAUCGAUGACACCGAUAUGCAUCUAAUUACGAACGUGUCUUCUGAUCUGUUUGGAGCGUUCGAAUGGGAUCUCAACUUUGGUUGGUGGCAUCGGUCCUUAUUUUCACAUCGAAGUACUCAUCGGCCCAGCGACCCCUUCGAAGCACCAGCAAUGGCGGGAGGACUCUUUGCAAUCGCUAGACACUUCUUCCAACGUCUCGGAUGGUACGACGACCAGUUCCGGGUGUAUGGAAUGGAGAAUGCCGAACUAUCUAUUAAAUGCUGGAUGUGUGGAGGAAGAAUUCUGACCGUGCCUUGCUCUCAUGUUGCGCACAUUCGCAAGAGUGCCCAUCCGUUCAUAGACGAUGGGCAUCAGAAUGUGACUUUCGUGAACUCUAUUCGCGUGGCAGAAGUUUGGAUGGAUGAGUACAAGCAGGUGGUGUUUGACGUGAAUGGCAUUCCGGGCUAUAGAGAAAGUUUGUUUGGAUCGAUCACCGAUCGAAAGACUUUCCGUGCAGCAGCUGGUUGCAAAUCGUUCCAGUACUAUCUGCAGCGAGCCUACCCUGAAAUGCCUUCCCCAAACGUCGAGGGACAAUUUCGGGGUGAGGUGCACAGUGCUGCUCAAGGGAAUGGGAUGUGUUUGACAGUGGGAGCUUCUGCAUCACCCAGACUUCACAUGGCACCAUGUGAUAAGCGCAACCAAACACAGUAUUGGACGCAUAAUUUCUACCGAGAAAUCAACAGUUACAAGCGUUGUGUCGAUGUAGGCACCUCGGGAACAGUACCAACUCUAGCUGUCUGCCAUCGAAUGCGUGGAGCACAAUCCUGGAGCUACGAUACGGUAAGCCUCCAGAUUAAAAGUCUCGUGCGAGAAGUGUGUCUAGCUGUCGAUGCCACAGCGAAUAGCGAUAUUGUGACGCUAGAACCAUGUGAUGGUCGCAAGCAGACACAGCAGUGGAACGUCACAUUAGUGAAGUACAAUUUUUGGAAGCCCCUUCAAUAAACCGGAUACAAACUGCAAACACGCAUGCCUCACAAAGCGAGCUCAUUGUUCCUUCACACUCAAUUCGUAGAACUUCACUUGUAAAAGAACAGUGUUGACUAGCUUCUCGAGUGUGUAAGCGUCGCACAACAUGUGCUUCCGUGUGGUCAUACCACAUCAAACUGUUUUUCUUUUGUGUAUCACGGUUGUAUUCCUAAUAAACAUCGUCUUCUAUCUGUACAAAGAUGAGACACCGUACGAUCAAAACCACUCCACAACAUCCGGAACGCUUUCGAUGCCGUCGCGUGUUUCGUUCCAAACGUCAACUCCUCCUGGCGAUAUGGGAUUACCUGUACAGUACAACAAAACUGAUCCUAUGAUCGUGGCACAGAUAAAGCGAUCCAUGGUUCAACAAGGUCUCAAUGAAUAUGCUUCGGAUCUGGUGUCUGUGAGGCGUCGAUUGCCUGAUCUGCGAGAUCCUUGGUGUUUUAGUGGGAGCAAUCGAUUACCGUCGGCGAGCCUGCCUGCCACAUCCGUCGUGAUAGUGUUCUACAACGAGGUAUGGUCAGUGUUGGUUCGUACAGUGCACUCUGUGUUAGACCGGUCACCACCGCAUUUGCUUAAAGAAGUUAUUCUAGUAGAUGAUUGCUCCAACUUUCCCUUCCUGAAGACUCAGCUCGAAGAGUACUUCGAACCGUACCCGGUUGUAAAAUUUAUUCGAGCCACAGAGCGUCUCGGAUUGAUACGCGCUCGGAUGGCUGGAGCCAAGCGUGCUUCUUCGGACAUCGUGACCUUCCUGGAUGCGCAUGUAGAGUGUACAGAAGGUUGGCUUGAGCCCCUUCUUGAGGUGGUCACCCGCAACUCUACACAUAUCGCCCUGCCAACGAUCGAUCGCAUCAACGAGGAAGAUAUGAGCCUUCGGACAAACAUUUCACUACUACUGGCCGGUGCCUUCGAGUGGGAUCUUAACUUUGGAUGGUGUGAAAGGAAGCAACUACACCGGCAGUAUGCUCACCCAUUCGAACCGUUCGACACACCAGCGAUGGCGGGAGGACUGUUCACCAUCAAUAGGACGUUCUUCGAGCGGAUCGGUUGGUACGAUGAGGCUUACAUCAUAUACGGAAUGGAAAACAUCGAGCUUUCGAUCAAGAGUUGGAUGUGCGGAGGAAAAUUAGUCACUGUGCCGUGUUCACGUGUGGGGCAUGUGCAGAAGCACGCUCAUCCGUACCUUUUCGAUGUGAAGAAAGAUUUGGCGUUCCACAAUUCAGCCCGGUUGGCUGAAGUAUGGAUGGAUGAGUACAAACAGGUCGUAUUUGACGUGAACGGGUUUCCUCGGUAUUCGGAAAAACUAUUCGGUUCGGUCGAGAAAAGGAAACGGGCACGGGAACGGGCCAAAUGUAAACCAUUCACUUACUACCUUCGACAUGCGUUCCCAGAGCUCCAUAAGCCUUCAAUUAAUGGACAGUUUCGUGGAGAAGUACGAAAUAUGGCGUUAGGUGAUAAAUCUUGUCUAACGGUGAACAAAGCUGGAUCAAGACCGUACAUGCGUCCUUGCGACGGGCUUGAAAAGAAUCAAUACUGGAGUCAUAGCUACUACCGGGACAUCAACUCCUACAAAGCAUGUCUAGAUUUCGAUGGAGUGUCUCUCACUACUGCUAUUUGCCACCGACAUAAAGGCAAUCAGGCCUGGAUGUACGUGAGUGAAACGAAACAAAUAUGGAGCAUGGCUCACAACAGAUGCCUGUCAGCCAGUGAAAUGGCUAGCUCGAAGGUAACUUUGGAAAAAUGUGAUGCUUCGAUAGAUUACCAGCGAUGGUUAGUUAACAUUGUGACUUAUGAUUUCUUAGUAUAGCUGAACACGAUAAAACUGUCUGUCAUCGCCUAAGAAGAAA